CUACAGCUCUACUGUGUAAACACAGAGCAGCAUGAAAGGCCUUGAGGGGCCCCUGCAUGCCUGUGGGAGUAUGGGGCGUACUUCAUGGCUUUAUGCUUGAAAAAGAGCCAUAAUCUUCCACCUAAUCUGGGGCUUUGAGUGGAAUUCCCCUCACAUGGACAGCAAGAGCGGGCAUACACCGUGUUGGCUCUGGUUUUAAAAACAGGAAUGUGGAUGUCUGGACUGCUAAACUCCGAGUCCUGUUUGUCUGAAGGGAUCCUCUCACAGUUGAAGUUUUGUUGCAGCAACUAAAAAGAUAAAGCAAAAUGUUGCAGCCAUCAGACCCACUGCUCCUGUCCCAGCUCCCAACUCCAGCACUGUGCUGCCCGACCAGACGUUCACUCCUGAGGACGGCUCAUAAAACUGUCUCGUCUCUAAAUAUUUCGCCAGAACUAUAGCUGCAUCCCAAACCACACAGCCAACAUCUCCCAAGUAGCACUGCUUCACUUUCAAGGCACAACCGUCGUUUCUCUCAAUUUCUCUCACAAAAUAUUGACUCUCGUCUGCAUCAGCCGCCAUGUUGGACUCAGCCGGAACCACAAGAGGACUUUGGGUUUUCAGAAUAAAAGCAUCACCGCCUUUUACUGACUGAACAUCACAACAGCAAAUUCCUCUACAAUUAUCUAUGUGAUGUUUUCCUUCUUGUUAUACUUAACUUUAUUUUAUUGAAAAUAAUAUUAAAAACCAGUGGUAUUGUUGGGACCUUAACAAGAAAGCUAUAUUUUAACCUGACGGAAGUUAUUUCAGAACAAAAAAAAUCUGUAAAUUUAUGGAAUGUUCUCAUUGUGUUUUACUUUUUUAUUUUCUUUUUUUUUACACAAAAAUAUCAAUAAAAAGUCCAAAAUAGACAGUGAGUUUGCACGUCUAAUGUAAAAAUUACAAAAAUGUGGAACUUUUAAAUAAUCAUAAAAUGUGAGAUACUGUGUGUUGGAUGUGGAAGGUCAUCCCACAUUAAUAUAACAUAUAGCAAAGAUCAACGCAAUAUAAUUUGAAAUUUACAAUAAAAAUAAAAUCAGAACGAUCACAAAGAAGACUACAAAAAAACUUCACAUAAAAGCUUUGAGGAGAGACUUUUAAUACUGACACCAAAAAGUGGCAUCUGUGGUGUGCUGAGCUGAAUCAAGUCAACAAUCUCAACAAUGGCUUUGACAGAGAAUGUUUUACGGGCCUCCACUUUCACAAGUACUAGACACCUACCCAGGCACUGUUCGAAUAAAAUCAUGAAUUAGAGUUUAAAAUCUGCUACAGACUAAAAAUAUGAUAUUCUGAGAAUAAAAGUAUCAUUCCUCAAAAUAGCACUUAAAUCAAUAGACACUGUAAAAGCAUGCUUUCAUGACCGCUGCUUCCUUUUUUGUUUCAGGUUUGUGGUUCCUAUUUACUGUUGUUGGUUCCUCUUCUGUUCUAAACAGCCCUUUGGGUUAAAUGACAUUUUCCUUGAUGAAUAAAAGUGAAGCUCAGAAACCAGUAAUGAACCAAGUUGUACAUUGCUUAUAUUCCCUUGAAUAGCUGUUGAAUUUUUAAAAUAGUCAUUUGCAACUAAUGUAUUUUUGUAUUAUUAUACUAGCAUGACAUAAAUAAAGUUCAUUUACUGAA